rnacentral:rRNA from 1 species
UACGUAGGGUGCGAGCGUUAAUCGGAAUUACUGGGCGUAAAGCGUGCGCAGGCGGUUUUGUAAGCCAGAUGUGAAAUCCCCGGGCUUAACCUGGGAAUGGCAUUUGGGACUGCAAGGCUGGAGUGCGGCAGAGGAGACGUGGAAUUCCUGGUGUAGCAGUGAAAUGCGUAGAUAUCAGGAGGAAUACCGAUGGCGAAGGCAGGUCUCUGGGCUGACACUGACGCUCA